rnacentral:rRNA from 1 species
UACGGGAGGCAGCAGUAGGGAAUAUUGGACAAUGGGGGCAACCCUGAUCCAGCAAUGCCGCGUGAGUGAUGAAGGCCUUAGGGUUGUAAAGCUCUUUUACCCGGGAUGAUAAUGACAGUACCGGGAGAAUAAGCUCCG